rnacentral:rRNA from 1 species
AUUGAACGCUGGCGGCAGGCUUAACACAUGCAAGUCGAGCGGAGAUGAGGUGCUUGCACCUUAUCUUAGCGGCGGACGGGUGAGUAAUGCUUAGGAAUCUGCCUAUUAGUGGGGGACAACAUUCCGAAAGGAAUGCUAAUACCGCAUACGACCUACGGGAGAAAGCAGGGGAUCUUCGGACCUUGCGCUAAUACAUGAGCCCAAGUCGGAUUAGCUAGUUGGUGGGGUAAAGGCCUACCAAGGCGACGAUCUGUAGCGGGUCUGAGAGGAUGAUCCGCCACACUGGGACUGAGACACGGACCAGACUCAUACGGGAGGCAGCAGUGGGGAAUCUUGGACAAUGGGGGGAACCCUGAUCCAGCCAUGCCGCGUGUGUGAAGAAGGCCUUAUGGUUGUAAAGCACUUUAAGCGAGGAGGAGGCUACUGAGACUAAUACUCUUGGAUAGUGGACGUUACUCGCAGAAUAAGCACCGGCUAACUCUGUGCCAGCCGCCGCAGUAA